UCUGAAGGUGGAAGAAAGCCCAUAGUGGGUGGAUGUUCUCUGCAGUUUGCAGCUUGUUUUUAAUCUGCUUUCAGUCAAAGAAAGCUCUUCCUCUGAUCUUCUUUCUCUUACUGUGUAAGAAAAUGAUUUCUGUUUGAAAUGGGAACUUUUCAUUUGAACAAACUGAUGUACGUCUCUAAUCUGAACUCUUGAGUGUAAAAUGUCUGUGACAUUCUUUAAUCCAGUACUUUCUGCUCCUAUGGAGUGAGAUCUAGAUCAGACUGUUGAUUUUAGACUCUCUGCAGUCUAAACAUUGUUACACAAGAUCUUUGUGAUUUUGAUAAAACAAAUGCAUGUGUUUUCAUGUAUGAGAAUAUGAUUAAUUUAGCUAUAUUAGCUGUGUGCAGUCUGUUAUGAGUUUAUUACAACUUUAAGACUCUCAGAACCUGAAAUGUUUUGAGUUUAUCUCCUUCAGUGAAGGUUAUUAAUGUUAUAUUACUGUUUUUGUGAAAACACAAAAUCAUUAUAUCCAAAAUGUCCUGAAAAUAAACUGAAAUGAAACAAUCAA